UAGAGAAUGCAGGGUGCAAGAGCAGCCCAAUCUAAGCCACUCCAACCAGUUAGUGAAGACAGGGAGGUUAAAAAUAUAAUCUAUUCGAUUGUGGUAGCAGAAGUCCUGAGGCAGCUAAGUGGCAGAAUGGCAACUAGUCCAGACUAAGCUAUUUGUUUUGAGUAGCAAUGGCAGAGAGGGUAGAAAUUGAUGCACUCUGAUGUGGCCACAGAAUGCCUGAGGUAGCAAAGGGCCAAAGUGGGGGACUGGCCUAGCCUAAGAUACUCUGUAAGGAUAGCUAAGAUAGAAGAGAGGAGACAAUACACUUCCAUGUGGCCUGAGGCAGUGAAGUUGCAGAUGACCUGAGGGCUGGAGGGAGGAGCAAAGAAAUAAUCCCAAAGGCUACAUUUAAAGAAGUUAGCCACAGCUCUGAAGCUAGCCACAUCUUUCAUUUCCCACUCAUGGAUGGACAGGACUCCAACGUGCCUUUUGACCCUCCAAACUUCAGCAACUACUCCCCUGAUGAGUCAGCAGCUAUUAAUAUUGAGAUGAAGAAAACUGAAGUUCAGACACAAGUGUUUCCCUAAGAAGACAUUAAGAGAAGGGGACAAAAGAGCCAUUAUACAGUGCCAAGGAGCACAAGGCCAAAAAGGAUCAAACCAAUCCAGGUAGGAUUGAUGGACUUCUAAGUCAAUAAGAAAGGACUUGUACCUAGUGUGAGACUUGAGGUUGCAGUGCCUGUAUCCACACUCUUUUGUGAAAUACUCACAGACAAGUACCAAAGUUUGGCUAUCAUUCUGGCUCCCCCUAUCCCUGAGAGUGAACUUAAAAACCAUCCAGGGAAUGACACUUCCCUAUCACAAAAAAUCUAGUCCUCUUUUCCCUUGUAUAGUAUGGCAACUUCCUGUAGUCUUGGCUUCAAAUGGGUAAGUGAAAUAUUACUGCAUUCUGUCCUACAGACUUGUGGGAUAGGAAUUACUUUAAUUGGGCUCUGAUUCAAAAACCUGUUAUAGGUUUAUUUUUUCCUUUACUUGGAAUUUUUACACAAAAGACUUUGAUAGUCUAUAUUUCAUCCAGAAGUUAUCUUUUCCUGGUGACCGUAUUCUUAAAUAAUCCAGUUCAACCUUUUAUAAAACCCCUCAACAUUUUCUAACCCCUUUACAAGUACUAACUAUGUAUCUAAUGUAUCAAACAAUGUCCUACAUACUAGGAAUAAAGAGA